UAGCUCUUUAACAAUUUGGAAAGCUGACAAAAUAAUGUGUGUUUCUUUGGAAACAGACGAUUAUUUGUAAAAGUUCUCAAUACUUUCUCGAAAGAGAAAGACCAACACAAUCAAGUGUUCUUGGAAUGACACAAUUUAGUGUCUAUUCAAUUGAGUCCGGCAAAACCAGUCUCUCGCUCAUGUAAAAUAAUGAGAGACACCUAGGUUACUGAUAAUGCAGCUCGAAACUUCUUCGGGUUGUAU
rnacentral:misc_RNA from 1 species